rnacentral:rRNA from 1 species
CCUACGGGAGGCAGCAGUGAGGAAUAUUGGUCAAUGGGCGGGAGCCUGAACCAGCCAAGCCGCGUGAGGGAAGAAGGUACAGCGUAUCGUAAACCUCUUUUGUCAGGGAACAAAGGCGGGGCCUAGUCCCCGGAUGAGGGUACCUGAAGCAAAAGCAUCGGCUAACUCCGUGCCAGCAGCCGAGGUAAUACGGGGGAUGCGAGCGUUAUCCGGAGUUAUUGGGUUUAAGGGGUGCGCAGGCGGCCUGUUCAGUCAGAGGUAAAAGCCCGGGGCUAAACCCCGGCGAGCCGUUGAAACUGGCGGGCUGGAGUGGGAGAGAAGUACGCGGAAUGCGCGGUGUAGCGGUGAAAUGCGUAGAGAUCGCGCAGAACCCCGAUUGCGAAGGCAGCGUACCGGCUCCACACUGACGCUGAGGCACGAAAGCGUGGGUAGCGAACAGGAUUAGAUACCCCGGUAGUC